AGAGUUUGAUCCUGGCUCAGGAUAAACGCUGGCGGCGCACAUAAGACAUGCAAGUCGAACGAACGUUAACCAUUAGGUUUACUAUUGGAGCGGUUAGUGGCGGACUGGUGAGUAACACGUAAGCAACCUGCCUAUCAGAGGGGAACAACGAGUUAGAAAUGACUGCUAAUACCGCAUAUGCCUUAGAAUCACAUGGUUCGAAA
rnacentral:rRNA from 1 species